rnacentral:rRNA from 1 species
AUUGGACGCUGGCGGCAUGCCUUACACAUGCAAGUCGAACGGCAGCACGGGAGCAAUCCUGGUGGCGAGUGGCGAACGGGUGAGUAAAGUAUCGGAACGUGCCCAGUCGUGGGGGAUAACGUAGCGAAAGUUACGCUAAUACCGCAUACGAUCUAUGGAUGAAAGCGGGAGAUCGCAAGACCUCGCGCGAUUGGAGCGGCCGAUAUCAGAUUAGGUAGUUGGUGGGGUAAAGGCUCACCAAGCCGACGAUCUGUAGCUGGUCUGAGAGGACGACCAGCCACACUGGGACUGAGACACGGCCCAGACUCCUACGGGAGGCAGCAGUGGGGAAUUUUGGACAAUGGGCGAAAGCCUGAUCCAGCCAUGCCGCGUGCAGGAUGAAGGCCUUCGGGUUGUAAACUGCUUUUGUACGGAACGAAAAGGUUUGGCCUAAUAAGCUGAGCUCAUGACGGUACCGUAAGAAUAAGCACCGGCUAACUACGUGCCAGCCGCCGCGGUAA